UCAGAGAGCUCUGGUCCCACCU
rnacentral:piRNA from 1 species